GAUGUUGUGGAGCCUCCAGGAUCAAGCCGGAGGAGUGGCUGUUCUCUCCCUCUCACAGCGUUAACACACACAUGUAUGUUCUGGCCUUAACACAGACUACUCUACUAACUACCGGUCUAAAACACACCUGGAUCAGACUACUAACUACCGGUCUAAAACACACCUGGAUCAGACUACUCUACUAUCUACUGGUCUAAAACACACCUGGAUCAGACUACUAACUACCGGUCUAAAACACACCUGGAUCAGACUACUCUACUAACUACUGGUCUAAAACACACCUGGAUCAGACUACUCUACUAACUACCGGUCUAAAACACACCUGGAUCAGACUACUAACUACUGGUCUAAAACACACCUGGAUCAGACCUGGAUCAGACUACUAACUACCGGUCUAAAACACACCUGGAUCAGACUACUCUACUAUCUACCGGUCUAAAACACACCUGGAUCAGACUACUCUACUAACUACCGGUCUAAAACACACCUUUAUCAGACUACUCUACUUCUACACCUGCAUUGCUUGCUGUUUGGGGUUUUAGGCUGGGUUUCUGUACAGCACUUUGAGAUAUCAGCUGAUGUACGAAGGGCUAUAUAAAUAAAUUUGAUUUGAUUUGAUUUGAUUUGAUUUGAUUUACUCUACUAACUACUGGUCUAAAACACACCUGGAUCAGACUACUCUACUAACUACCGGUCUAAAACACACCUGGAUCAGACUACUCUACUAACUACUGGUCUAAAACACACCUGGAUCAGACUACUAACUACUGGUCUAAAACACACCUGGAUCAGACUACUCUACUAAGUACUGGUCUAAAACACACCUGGAUCAGACUACUUUACUAACUACCUGUCUAAAACACACCUGGAUCAGACUACUAACUACUGGUCUAAAACACCCCUGGAUCAGACUACUUUACUAACUACCGGUCUAAAACACCCCUGGAACAGACUACUCUACUAACUACUGGUCUAAAACACACCUGGAUCAGACUACUAACUACUGGUCUAAAACACACCUGGAUCAGACUACUAACUACUGGUCUAAAACACACCUGGAUCAGACUACUCUACUAACUACCGGUCUAAAACACACCUGGAUCAGACUACUCUACUAACUACCGGUCUAAAACACCCCUGGAUCAGACUACUCUACUAACUAUCGGUCUAAAACAUACCUGGAUCAGACUACUCUACUAACUACUGGUCUAAAACACACCUGGAUCAGACUACUAACUACUUGUUUAAAACACAUCUGGAUCAGACUACUAACUAUUGGUCUAAAACACACCUGGAUCAGACUACUCUACUAACUACUGGAUCAGACUCAUUUCCACAGCAAAUGGAGCUGCCGUUCUCUGGUCUGGAGUUGACCUUCAUCAUCAUCGCCUUCAUCAUAUUUUCUCUCUUCAGCCUGGCCUCAGUCUGUACUCAGCCAGACACAGAGGAAGCUGUGUGUGAAAAGAAGAGGUUCCAAAGGAGACCAGAGAGGAAGCAACGUGUCAUCGUCAAACUGGCCUCUCAGAAAGAACCCUAAACACUGUCCCAAACUGGCUUCUCAGGAAGAACCCUAAACACGGUCCCAAGCUGGCUUCUCAGGAAGAACCCUAAACACUGUCCCAAACUGGCCUCUCAGAAAGAACCCUAAACACUGUCCCAAACUGGCCUCUCAGAAUGAACCCUAAACACUGUCCCAAACUGGCCUCUCAGGAAGAACCCUAAACACUGUCCCAAACUGGCCUCUCAGAAAGAACCCUAAACACAUUCCCAAACUGGCCUCUCAGAAAGAACCCUAAACACUGUCCCAAACUGGCCUCUCAGAAAGAACCCUAAACACUGUCCCAAACUGGCCUCUCAGGAAGAACCCUAAACACUGUCCCAAGCUGGCUUCUCAGAAAGAACCCUAAACACUGUCCCAAACUGGCCUCUCAGAAAGAACCCUAAACACUGUUAAGUGUCCCAAACGGGACCCUAUUCCCUACUGAUGGAUAACAUAUCGUCUGCCUGUUUCCUGAUGGAUAAUGAAGUGUCUGUCUCUCUGUCUGUUUCCUGAUCGAUAAUGUAGCGUCCGUCUGUUUCCUGGUGGAUAAUGUAGUGUCUGUCUGUCUGUUUCCUGAUGGAUAAUGUAGUGUCUGUCUGUCUGUUUCCUGAUGGAUAAUGUAGUGUCUAUCUGUCUGUUUCCUGAUGGAUAAUGUAGUGUCUGUCUGUCUGUCUGUUUCCUGAUGGAUAAUGUAGUGUCUAUCUGUCUGUUUCCUGAUGGAUAAUAAACUAUUUUAUUAUGUU